rnacentral:rRNA from 1 species
UACGUAGGCAGCAAGCGUUGUUCGGAGUUACUGGGCGUAAAGGGUGUGUAGGCGGCUCUCUAAGUUUGGUGUGAAAUCUCCCGGCUCAACCGGGAGGGUGCGCCGAAAACUGGAGGGCUAGAGUGCGGGAUGGGAGAGUAGAAUUCCUGGUGUAGCGGUGAAAUGCGUAGAUAUCAGGAGGAAUACCGGUGGUGUAGACGGCUCUCUGGACCGCAACUGACGCUGAAACACGAAAGCGUGGGUAGCAAACAGG